UUGGAUCCUCUAACGUUGUGU
rnacentral:siRNA from 1 species